UGGCACUAAUCCUAGGCACAAUUUACCCCAAUUCGCUUUUAAAAUAACACACAUCUUUUAUCGGAAGCCCGAAUGACGUCCCUCAUGUUCAAAUUUGAUCUAAUACACCUGAAACAAGUCCUUCAAACGAAAUUUAUACACUAGUUAACAAUCAAUUUCGAGAUUCUUCAAGAUUAAUCAAGAUUAUUGAAAAUUUUGUCAAAAGUUGUGAAAGAUUGACUAAUUUAUUUGAAAGGUUAAUAUCAGAUAGAAAUUCCACAAAAUUGAGGUCUAAACUUUAGAACAAGAUGUACUUACCGGACUUGAUGGUAUUACAAAGGCUAUCAACAAUGAAUUCAACUAUCGGUAGAGAGUCAAUUUAUCGGGAAUUGAUUUGAUAUGGAAAACAAAAAUAAUUCCAGCAAUGGAGAGAAAAUAUUUUGCAAAGAAGAGAAUGAAAAAGAAAAGGGGGAAAAUAUGAGAAAAAGACCAAUUCUAAUAGGAUUUGAAAAAGUAGUAAUUGAAAACCAAUUAGGAGAUAA
rnacentral:lncRNA from 1 species